CGCGGUCAGGAUUAUGUGCACCUGCGGCGGAAGGCGCUGCAGGAAAGUUCCUGCACAAGCGCGCUUUUGGUUGAAGGAACAAGUUUUCCAGCCAAGCCUUGCCUGCGAUGCAACAAGACGCCCGCUGGAUGAGCAUCGCCUUACGGUGGUGGUAGCGCUUUUAACGGGCAGGGAGCGUAGAACAUCGAGGAGAACUGCAGUAGUAUUAGGCGAAAGCGCUCCAACGACAGGGUCGAAACAUGGUCAAUUGAAAACUUGGGCGGUGAUGGCGGAGCAAGGAGUCGAUGGUAAUGAACCGAAGUUCCCCUUCCGGCGACCAGACCUCGGGGAGCUUGAGAGCGAAACUCGGACUCACGGGGAGGUGGCGUUGACGUGGCACUUGACCGGAAGAAUCCGAGGCCAUUGGCUUACUUUACAGAAGGCGGCCUGCAAAGAAAAUCGGCUCAAGCUCCUGACGGCGGUGGGCCUAGCAAAGCGGCUGAGAAAACCCCAUGUCGGCGGUCUGCACUAGCCGCUCUUUGGCACACACGGCAGUUAGCUGUUUAUCUACCAAGACAGGUGUGACAAAACGGAUUUUCCCGCAACUCCAUUUCGAAGCGCUCGACAAACGCCAAUCACGGUGAUCCACCUGCCUGUCACUCCAAUAGUCUGGGAAAUUCGGAAUCGAGGUGUUCGAGAACUUCCCGUACACCGUCGCCAUUUCUGACUCGGACAACGACACCAUCUUCGAAUGCGUGGCCGCUAACCGAACUGAGAUUGACCCCGAAGCUCACACCGCCACAUUCGUUUGGCUCUUCCAAGGGAGUGAGAACAGUCCAAAGCAAGACAUUCCUUUCUACGUGAAGGCCGAAGAGGAACCUGGAACGUUCAGCUUCGGCGUGGGAAGAGAUCCUACAGUUAGGGAAGGCCGCUACUACUACACAGACUACAAGACCUGCGUCGUAUUGGACAUGGAAUAUCACGGACAUCAAUGCAUUCUGUGGACACAGAAAGAAGUAAAGGACGCGGUGCCGCAGGACUGCAUUGACCAGUUUGUCGACACGUGUGGCGUCAUCGUUCCCGAGCACAGCCGAGACCUCUGCCCAGAUGGUGAAGGCGACUACUAGGUGCACUCCGGCAUCUAAUUUUAAACUGUACUAUAUGCCUCAAAAUAUGAGCGUACUCUUGCGACAUAAAUAAAGUUUUUCAACAGAGCGA